rnacentral:rRNA from 1 species
CUACGGGACGCAGCAGUAGGGAAUAUUGGGCAAUGGGCGCAAGCCUGACCCAGCAACGCCGCGUGCGCGAAGAAGGCCUUCGGGUCGUAAAGCGCUUUUCUGAGGGAUGAGAAAGGACAGUACCUCAGGAAUAAGCCUCGGCUAACUACGUGCCAGCAGCCGCGGUAAAACGUAGGAGGCGAGCGUUAUCCGGAUUUACUGGGCGUAAAGCGUGUGCAGGCGGUCUGGCAAGUUGGAUGUGAAAGCUCCCGGCUCAACUGGGAGAGGUCGUUCAAAACUACCGGACUAGAGUGUAUCAGAGGGAGAUGGAAUUCCCGGUGUAGUGGUGAAAUGCGUAGAUAUCGGGAGGAACACCAGUGGCGAAAGCGAUCUUCUGGGAUACUACUGACGCUCAGACACGAAAGCUAAGGUAGCGAACGGGAUUAGAUACCCCGGUAGUC